rnacentral:rRNA from 1 species
CUGCUCCUAGUACGAGAGGACCGGAGUGGACGAACCUCUGGUGUACCGGUUGUCACGCCAGUGGCAUUGCCGGGUAGCUAAGUUCGGAAGAGAUAACCGCUGAAAGCAUCUAAGCGGGAAACUUGCCUUGAGAUGAGAUUUCCCAGAGCCUUGAGCUCUUUGAAGGGUCGUUCGAGACCAGGACGUUGAUAGGCUGGGUGUGGAAGUGCAGUAAUGCAUUAAGCUAACCAGUACUAAUUGCCCGUACGGCUUGUCCC